rnacentral:rRNA from 1 species
AUUGAACGCUGGCGGCAGGCUUAACACAUGCAAGUCGAGCGGAGAUGAGGUGCCUGCACCUUAUCUUAGCGGCGGACGGGUGAGUAAUGCUUAGGAAUCUGCCUAUUAGUGGGGGACAACAUUCCGACAGGAAUGCUAAUACCGCAUACGUCCUACGGGAGAAAGCAGGGUAUCUUCGGACCUUGCGCUAAUAGAUGAGCCUAAGUCGGAUUAGCUAGUUGGUGGGGUAAAGGCCUACCAAGGCGACGAUCUGUAGCGGGUCUGAGAGGAUGAUCCGCCACACUGGGACUGAGACACGGCCCAGACUCCUACGGGAGGCAGCAGUGGGGAAUAUUGGACAAUGGGGGGAACCCUGAUCCAGCCAUGCCGCGUGUGUGAAGAAGGCCUUAUGGUUGUAAAGCACUUUAAGCGAGGAGGAGGCUACUGAGACUAAUACUCUUGGAUAGUGGACGUUACUCGCAGAAUAAGCACCGGCUAACUCUGUGCCAGCCGCCGCCGUAAGAC